UCCAAAAUUUAAAUGGAAAAAUCGAAUAAAAAAUAAAGUUCCUCUAAGUUUAAAAAUCUUUGUUUCCGCUAGCCGUUGCUCUUUUGUUUGGAGUUAUUUUUUCCGUUUAGCCAUUGAAAAUGUCAUGAGGCCAAUAAUUGUCUGCUACUAGCACACUCUUGAAUUAGUGAUACUACUUCUGGAAGAACUUAAAAUAUAAAACUAAGCUGUUACGUUUACGUAUUAAAGUGUAUCAAAUCUUGCAACUGGAAUUAGGCAUUUCGAACACUGAUACGACCCACCCUAAACUUGGAUGAAACUUUGUUGUUUGAUAACCGGAUCACGAUUCACGAUCCAUGAAACUUGAAUGAAAAAAAAAGGGAAAAGGAA